rnacentral:lncRNA from 1 species
AAUGUUUUGUAUCCCCAACAAAUGCAUAAGCAUUGCAAAAUCAGGUUUGUCUUGUAUCACAUCAUUGGCUUCUAUCAUGUAAAUUUGUCUUUUACUCUCAGUGUUUUGUAAUGGAUUCUAAAGCUGUAAACCAUAUGGCUGAGUCUUUGUUCACAAAAAGUUUACAUUUACUUAAUAAAUAGAAAAAACAUUAGUUUCCAUGAUCCAAUCGUUAACAUGUUUGCAUAUGCUUAAAGGCUGAUAUUAGUCGUAAAAAUUCAAAAGUCCAAUUUAAUUUUAUUAUGGUAUCCAGUUGGAUUGGAGUACAGAAUAUAUAUAAUAAUAUGAUAAUGGUAGAAAUUAAAUCACUUUUUAUUUUGAUAUUGUAUACAAAAUUAUAUAAGUCUAAGUAAAUUUAUUAAUUUUUUUCAUCUGUUGCAAGUUACAAAAAUUUAUUCUUACCUUUGCCUGACGGACAACCAUCGCACAAUCCAAUAUUGAGUGGUCAAAGUCCAAUUCUAAUUUUUGAAGUGUCACAGCUAUACACCCACGAGCCUGACAAAAUUCAUUGACAUGACCCUUACCCAACGGUGAAACCCGUAUAAGUCAAAAGUCCAAUUCCAAGUUUCUAGUGUCGCAGCUAUCCACACAUGGCUACUAAAUUUCCAGUGAUACAACCCUUGCUCGACGCAUGCCC